rnacentral:sRNA from 1 species
GCUGGUGCUUUAUAUAGAUACGGGAUUUUCCUGGGCGGCAAACGCGUAUUUACAAGCGCGAUGCCGUUUACAUA